GGGGAUGUUCUUGCUUUUCCAGCAGUGACGACGAGCGCAGACACCCCGGAGGACAUCGCGGAUGACAUCGAUGAGCUCCUCACGUGGAUCAACGAGGAAGUGACGGCCAACACAGGCCUCCUGGACGACACCGCAGACAUGGAUGACCUGCUCACGUGGAUCAACAACGAAGAGAGACCCAGGACCAAC